CGUCUAUAUACGUAUAGCAUAUCAAUAAGCGGAGGAAAAGAAACUAACAAGGAUUCCCUUAGUAACGGCGAGUGAAGCGGGAAGAGCUCAAAUUUGAAAUCUUCAAGGUUUUACCUUGACGAAUUGUAGUUUAAAGAAGUGUUUUCUGUUGGAGUUUUGGUAAAAGUUCUUUGGAAUAGGACAUCAUAGAGGGUGAGAAUCCCGUAUUUGACCAUUAUUUCCAGCUUUGUGAUACACUUUCAAAGAGUCGGAUUGUUUGGGAAUGCAGUCCAAAAUGGGUGGUAAAUUUCAUCUAAAGCUAAAUACUGGCGAGAGACCGAUAGCGAACAAGUACCGUGAGGGAAAGAUGAAAAGAACUUUGAAAAGAGAGUUAAACAGUACGUGAAAUUGUCAAAAGGGAAGCGUUUGACACCAGUGUUGUUUUCUCGAAAAUCAAUUAAGAAUGUUGUAUUUUGAGGUUGUAUUGACUUUAUCAGGCUUGCUGCACUUUCUUUCCUGAAUCUUUUUUAAUGCACUUUUCGGUUAACAAGUCAACAUCAAUUUCUUUUGUUGUAAAAGAGUCAUUGGAAGGUGGCUUUCUUUUCGGAGAAAGUGUUUAUAGCCUUUGGCUUCUGCAAUCGGAGAGAUUGAGGUCUGCAGCGUAGAUCCUUCGGGGUUAGAUACAUUUGUGCUAAGUUAUAGCCUUUCAUAGACAACUUGUUGACUAUGAUCAGUCAUGUAGCUUACUCGCUUAUGUCAUUUUACCUACGCUUAGGAUGUUGAUAUGCAUGACUGAUAU
rnacentral:rRNA from 1 species